rnacentral:rRNA from 1 species
ACCCGCUGAACUUAAGCAUAUCAGUCAGCGGAGGAAAAGAAACCAACUGGGAUUCCCUUAGUAAGGGCGACUGAAACGGGAAAAGCUCAAGCUGAAAUCUGGGCGUCUUCGGCGCUUAGAAUUGUAGUUUUGUGGGUAACUCGAAGCCAAGCUCGGCGACUAAAUCCUCUGGAAAGGGGUGCCAUAGAGGGUGACAGCCCCGUGAGUUGUUGACGCAAGGCAAUCAUGUUACUCGUAGAGUCGAGUUGUUUGGGAGUACAGCUCUAAGUGGGAGGUAAAUUCCUUCUAAAGCUAAAUAUGGGCAAGAGACCGAUAGCGAACAAGUACCGUGAGGGAAAGAUGCAAAGAACUUUGAAAAGAGAGUUAAAAGUACGUGAAAUUGCUAACAGGGAAGCGUUUGGGGUCGACAUAUGCCGGCUGAGAUUCACCUAGUGUCGCGCAGAAUGUGCUGUACAGCGUAGCAGGGUUUUCACCUUGUGCCUGUGCGGCGUAAACAUGUGCGCAUUAGGGCACUUCUUAGUCGGCUGGGGAGCAGGAGUAAGGAGAGAGGGAGAAGGCCUUCAGGAAGGUAGCAGUGUUUCGGCACUGUGUUUAGCCUGAGGUGUUGCCUACCUUUCUCAUCUUACUGAGGGGCU